UGUGUGAUCUGUAUUGGGUGUGCUAGUUAAAUGUUAAUGUCUAUACGCAGUGAAUAGAAUUAUACUACUGCUUUUUAUGAUCUUACACUCCUCCUAAAUUUACAAGGGCCUUUCUCUUUGUUUCCCCCAUCAGCUGAUGGCUAAAUACAACUGGUUUAUGUUUUCUAGCCAAGUAGUAUUUUCGACACGAAUUGCUGUCAUAUGCUAAUAAUCUGUUUGGAGUGGUGCUCUAAUUGUCGUGCCUGUUGUCUUCACCUCGUCAUCUGUUUGGGGUUGAGCACACACCAUUUUGGUAUUCUUUAGAAGGUUCAAAGAGUACUUGCCACUCUUGCUUCGGGGGAAGUACUCAGUCUGAACAUGGCAUUCGAAAGGAUUGCUAGGACUGCUCGACAUGGAUUCAGAAGGUCGCCAUCAGGAGCAUCUGCGCGCACAACUGAGAAGGAUAUGUUGUGUGAGCGAGCAUCCACACAAGCACCUAGGAAGCAUGGCAACAGUUGGAGGCUAUAAGGCUUUGGUUGAUCUGCGCCAGUCUAAGGAUGCAAAGGGCAUAUCCCUUGCCGGAUUUCUCAGCUGGUUAAUUUGGCGCUCGCUUAUCUGACGCGUGUUGUCAGCUGGAGGAACAGGUUCUAUGUUGCAGUGAACUGGGCUACUACUCUUGUCUUUGGCAGAGAUAGCUCAAGAAUAUAGAUGGUCAAGUGGAAUAAGGACGAAAUGGAGCGAGGGAAAGAGACAGUGAGCAUUUACAAAUUUGACGUCCGAACUCCGUUUUGAACGCAUAAUACCAUCCCUAAAAUAGCGCGACGUUCCAAUUCAAAUGCACCGUUUUGCUAAGAUGUACGAUUGAUUUUAGCUAUCUGAGAUCGUUUAAACUUCCAAAAUUGCAUUUUAAAGUUUGUAAUAAAAAUCAAACUUUUCA